GUGGGGAAUUUUGCGCAAUGGGGGAAACCCUGACGCAGCAACGCCGCGUGAGUGAUGAAGGCCUUCGGGUCGUAAAGCUCUGUCAUCAGGGACGAACGGCCGGUGGAGUGGAAAGCCACCGGAUUGACGGUACCUGAGAAGGAAGCCACGGCUAACUACGUGCCAGCAGCCGCGGUAAUACGUAGGUGGCAAGCGUUGUCCGGAAUUAUUGGGCGUAAAGCGCGCGCAGGUGGGAUCUUAAGUCCAUUUUUAAAGUUCGGAGCUCAACUCCGUGAUGGGAUGGAAACUGGGAUUCUUGAGUACCGGAGAGGAAAGCGGAAUUCCCCGUGUAGCGGUGAAAUGCGUAGAUAUGGGGAGGAACACCAGUGGCGAAGGCGGCUUUCUGGACGGUGUCUGACACUGAGGCGCGAAAGCCAGGGGAGCGAACGGGAUUAGAAACCCCAGUAGUC
rnacentral:rRNA from 1 species